AGGUGGAGAAAGGGUUGAGGUUUUCCCAAAAAAAGGCUUUUUUACACCCGGUUUCUUGCCAUCCGGCACUCACAAAGUCCACCCGGUCUUCAGCCAACCAGUGGAAACACUUGAGGAAGAGGAGGAGGGUGAAGAGGGCGACGAAGCGAGGGCUGAAGUCAUCCCUGAAAACGGUGAAGGCCAGGCAGGUCUCCGUCACGGCGUACCACGACCGCUCGAGACAUGAUCAAACCUCUUUCUGGGGCGAUUUCUGAACCCGGCAGGAAAACAAGACCCUAAAACUAAUGAUGCCGCCAACGACUUGAUUUUAUUUAACCUGCUAACAAUUCCUAGCCCAGCCUGUCAGCGACGCCUCCUCCGCCGCUCCACGACUCUCAUUGGCUAACACCGCCCAGCGUCCCGCCUCUCCGCCUUUGACA